GCUACAGGACUAUAGGUGAUUCGACUCCAAGGAAGUGUUAGCAACUGUCAUAUGAAGAGCACUGUUACUUGCCAGCCUCUAGCAUAAGAGUCUUAGAAAUGAGGAAUCCUCUUCUUUGUUCCAGUCUUUGGGAGUGGAAUGAAUUAUGGCGCCUGGGACAGUAGUUACAGAUGAUGUAGCCAAAUGGAUAAGACACGCACUUUGAAAGAUGGAAAAGUGACAGAGAGGGGAGGUUAAGUUUCCUGCUUCCAGAAGUCACCAGUCACAAUACCAGGAGUAUUUUUGAGUGGCUCAGAACCAGAAAAAGAUAUGGGAGGGAAAGAAAAUGAAGCCCUUGGCAGUCACAGAUCCCUAAUCUCCUGAAUCUUGUUUCGUGCCUCGGU
rnacentral:lncRNA from 1 species